CUUAUCAUACUAAUCUGCUCCUUAUUUUUGGUACUAGAGAUAUUGCUAUUGUGGUCCUCAAGAUGCAUUUUUGCAUUCUUUUUUCUUUUUUUUCAACUUUUUUUUCCUCAUUUUUUUUUUGAAUUUUUGACCAUUUUUCUCUAGUACCCCAACCCCAAACUUUAAUCUUUGCUCACUUCCAAGAGCAACCUCAAACUUAUUCUUUUUCAUACCACUUAAGAACUUAAACAUUUCUAUCUAGCUCCAAAGAGAGGGUGGAAAGGUAAAAUCUUUCAAGUUA
rnacentral:lncRNA from 1 species